rnacentral:tRNA from 1 species
GCCUGGGUGGCUCAGUCGAUUGGGCAUCUGACUUCGGCUCAGGUCAUGAUUUUUACAGUUCGUGGGUUCGAGCCCCACAUCGGGCU